rnacentral:lncRNA from 1 species
UAAUUUAAACAAUAAUAGUGGUCCUUAUAAGAAGAAACUUUAACUCGUUGUACGUGUAUAUUGUUGGUGUGUGAGACCUAACAGAGAGUUACCGCUAGACGACUAGAGGAAGAGAGAGAUGUGGUUACUAUUUAACGAGCCUAUCCACUUAAAUAUGGACCACGUUACAGCGAAGUGGUCCUCAAUUGAUUUACACGGUUAUCCUUUAGAAUUUAGCUCUCGCUUUCGUCAGACACGUAAAAUGACUUCAUUCCUUCCCGCAAAAGAAAAAAGUUAAGGUAUAUGGUCAUAAGAAUAUCAUA